ACGUGCGGAUGCGUCAACUUGUUCAACGUGCUUCGAGCUGCAGAAGACAGACGAGCAAACAAACUGAUCAAUUAACGGAUUUAAUCAACUUUAAACCUUGAAAACACACUUUGUUUGACUUCUGAUGGACUCAAAGGACUUCAGUUUGAUGACUGAUGACAUUCAAGUGCUGCUGAUUGGAUGACGUCAUGUCACCUGGUUACACCUGCAGAGCAGCACAGUCACGUUUGAUGACUGGAAGGAGCAUCGUGUUACCUGGAUACACCUGCAGAGCCGGACAGUCACGAUUGAAGCUGACGUCUGUGGGAGUGGAUUAAAGGGGCUGGUUUCGUAUUUCGUGUUUCGUGUCGAUAUCCAUCAUCGGAUCAGUGUUCGGAUCACCGCGGACGGAGAGCCACGCGCUCUGCAGGGAUUUCUAUUUUUCACGCGUAAUUACGCACGGUGCGUCUCCGUCCAGCCGGAUCACAUCAUAACAUCAUAUUCAAUCACAAAUAAUAUUCAAUGUCUGUUUUUAUAUCAAUAAAACCAUCAAACCCUGAA